UAAAAGUUAAGCUAAUAUCAACUGCUCUUCAUGGUAGUACAAUUUAAAAGUCCUAAUACUUUAAGCACUUAUGAGCAGACCCAAAGAGUUCAACAAAAACAAUUUUUUUUUUAUUAACUACAGUAGCGCUUUCGGCCUACAUGCCAUCAUCAGCUCCAGUAAAAAGAAUGGAAUACAGUACGUUUUUCAAAAAUACAUAAGUUGUUCUAGAAUAUUAAGCUCAACAUUCGGUUCAAAAUUCAAAACGAACCAAUCACAAAUAAGAUACAUUAAACAAAAACAAACUUUUACUUAUGCAAAACAAAAAAACAUGUAAGGCUCCCGCAACGUGUGUAGAUAGUUUGUCAGUCUGAC
rnacentral:lncRNA from 1 species